rnacentral:rRNA from 1 species
CCCUUAGAUGUUCUGGGCCGCACGCGUUCUACACUGAGUGGAUCAGCGGGUCAGGUUGCGCGAAAGCGUUUCCUAAUCUUUAAAUCCGCUCGUGAUGGGGAUUGACGGUUGCAAUUUUCUGUCAUGAACGAGGAAUACCUUGUAAGCGCGGGUCAUCAUCCCGCGCUGAAUACGUCCCUGCCCUUUGUACACACCGCCCGUCGCUCCUACCGAUUGAGUGGUCCGGUGAGGCUUUGGGAUCUGAGCGGAAAGAGCGUUUCGCUGUUUCUGCUCGGAAAACUCAGUCGAACCUUAUCAUUUAGAGGAAGGAGAAGUCGUAACA